AAAUUUACUUUCUUUAUUUUAUAAAAAUAAAUUAAUUUUUGGAUAAAAAAGUUCAAAUUUUAUUAGAGGACGAGAAGACCCUAUAGAACUUCACUAUUUAUUUUUAGAUAUUUUUAGAAAAUAAAAAUUUUUUAUUUUUUAAAUAGUUUUGUUGGGGUGACAAAAAAAAUUUUAUAACUUUUUUUAAUUUUAUCAUUUAUAAAUGACUUCUUGAUCCUUUUUUAUGGAAAAAAGAUUAAGUUACCUUAGGGAUAACAGCGUUAUUAUUUUAGAGAGUUCAUAUUGAUAAAAUAGUUUGCGACCUCGAUGUUGGAUUAAAAUUAGUAUCAGAGGCAGAAUGUUGAUUACUGAGUCU
rnacentral:rRNA from 1 species